UAAUAGCCAAUAGAACAUUACUUUC
rnacentral:siRNA from 1 species